AGAAGAAAAUCAAUUUUGAGAAGGACAAGGGAUUAGACACAAAGCAGAUGCAGAAUAUACACCGACAGAGGUAACAUGAAUUAAUCAAAUAAUAUAAAAUAAAGAUGAGACCUUAGAUGCUUUGAACUGCAUGGGUAGUCAGUUUGUGAGACCAAGAAGUGACGAAGUUCAAGGCUUUCUGCGGACCAGCUUCAGACAGAAUGCGAAGUCGAUGAAGCCCAACCCACCGUCACCACCAAACUGCUAGUUGGAGGAAAUUAAAAAAAAAAAAAGCCACCAAGUUGAACCGGGCCUUAAUAUUUU
rnacentral:misc_RNA from 1 species